UUUCUUAUGCAUUAGAGGAAGUAAAAGUCGUAACAAGGUUUCCGUAGGUGAACCUGCGGAAGGAUCAUUACUGAGUUCAUGCCCUCACGGGUAGAUCUCCACCCUUGAAUAUUAAACCUUUGUUGCUUUGGCGGGCCGCUUCGGCCACCGGCUUCGGCUGGUGAGUGCCGCCAGAGACACCAAAACUCUGAAUUAUAGUGUCGUCUGAGUACUAUACAAUAGUUAAACUUUCAACAACGGAUCUCUUGGUUCUGGCAUCGAUGAAGAACGCAGCGAAAUGCGAUAAGUAAUGUGAAUUGCAGAAUUCAGUGAAUCAUCGAAUCUUUGAACGCACAUUGCGCCCCUUGGUAUUCCGGGGGGCAUGCCUGUUCGAGCGUCAUUAUAACCCUCAAGCCUUGCUUGGUGUUGGAGCAUGCUACCUAGCAGCUCUUAAAAUCAGUGGCAGUGCCCUUCGGCUCUAAGCGUAGUAAUUCUUCUCGCUAUAGGGUCUGGAGGGUCCGCGCCAGAACCCCCAACUUUCUAUGGUUGACCUCGGAUCAGGUAGGGAUACCCGCUGAACUUAAGCAUAUCAUUAGCGGGAAGAGAA
rnacentral:rRNA from 1 species